rnacentral:rRNA from 1 species
GAUGAACGCUGGCGGCGUGCCUAAUACAUGCAAGUCGAGCGAACAGACGAGGAGCUUGCUCCUCUGACGUUAGCGGCGGACGGGUGAGUAACACGUGGAUAACCUACCUAUAAGACUGGGAUAACUUCGGGAAACCGGAGCUAAUACCGGAUAAUAUAUUGAACCGCAUGGUUCAAUAGUGAAAGACGGUUUUGCUGUCACUUAUAGAUGGAUCCGCGCCGCAUUAGCUAGUUGGUAAGGUAACGGCUUACCAAGGCGACGAUGCGUAGCCGACCUGAGAGGGGGAUCGGCCACACUGGAACUGAGACACGGUCCAGACUCCUACGGGAGGCAGCAGUAGGGAAUCUUCCGCAAUGGGCGAAAGCUUGACGGAGCAACGCCGCGUGAGUGAUGAAGGUCUUCGGAUCGUAAAACUCUGUUAUUAGGGAAGAACAAAUGUGUAAGUAACUAUGCACGUCUUGACGGUACCUAAUCAGAAAGCCACGGCUAACUACGU